GACGAACGCUGGCGGCGUGCCUAAUACAUGCAAGUGGGACGCAAGGAAACACACUGUGCUUGCACACCGUGUUUUCUUGAGUCGCGAACGGGUGAGUAACGCGUAGGUAACCUGCCUAUUAGCGGGGGAUAACUAUUGGAAACGAUAGCUAAUACCGCAUAAUAUUAAUUAUUGCAUGAUAAUUGAUUGAAAGAUGCAAGCGCAUCACUAGUAGAUGGACCUGCGUUGUAUUAGCUAGUUGGUAAGGUAAGAGCUUACCAAGGCGACGAUACAUAGCCGACCUGAGAGGGUGAUCGGCCACACUGGGACUGAGACACGGCCCAGACUCCUACGGGAGGCAGCAGUAGGGAAUCUUCGGCAAUAGACGAAAGUCUGACCGAGCAACGCCGCGUGAGUGAAGAAGGUUUUCGGAUCGUAAAGCUCGGUUGUAAGUCAAGAACGUGUGUGAGAGUGGAAAGUUCACACAGUGACGGUAGCUUACCAGAAAGGGACGGCUAACUACGUG
rnacentral:rRNA from 1 species